rnacentral:rRNA from 1 species
GGGUUGUGAGGUUAAGCGACUAAGCGUACACGGUGGAUGCCCUGGCAGUCAGAGGCGAUGAAGGGCGUGCUAAUCUGCGAUAAGCGCCGGUAAGGUGAUAUGAACCGUUAUAACCGGCGAUUUCCGAAUGGGGAAACCCAGUGUGACUCGUCACACUAUCAUUAACUGAAUCCAUAGGUUAAUGAGGCGAACCGGGGGAACUGAAACAUCUAAGUACCCCGAGGAAAAGAAAUCAACCGAGAUUCCCCCAGUAGCGGCGAGCGAACGGGGAGGAGCCCAGAGCCUGAAUCAGCAUGUGUGUUAGUGGAAGCGUCUGGAAAGGCGCGCGAUACAGGGUGACAGCCCCGUACACAAAAGCGCAUGUGUUGUGAGCUCGAUGAGUAGGGCGGGACACGUGGUAUCCUGUCUGAAUAUGGGGGGACCAUCCUCCAAGGCUAAAUACUCCUGACUGACCGAUAGUGAACCAGUACCGUGAGGGAAAGGCGAAAAGAACCCCGGCGAGGGGAGUGAAAAAGAACCUGAAACCGUGUACGUACAAGCAGUGGGAGCCCCACCACCAAAGCAUUCUCUGGUCUCCACAUACGCAUCCUUUGCUGAAGGUGCGGUUAACGGAGCGCAAGCGACGCCCAACACACAAAACAAGCGGUGAGUGCUUUGGGGUGGGGUGACUGCGUACCUUUUGUAUAAUGGGUCAGCGACUUAUAUUCUGUAGCAAGGUUAACCGUAUAGGGGAGCCGGAGGGAAA